GGUUAGGCAGUAAAAAACUAAAAACGAAACGAUCGAUCGUUUCGUCUAAGCGAUAGCGUCUCUCGUUUUUCCGUGUAAGGCUAGGCAGUAACAGACGACAGUCGCUUUCGUGCAGACGAAGGUGAAUCGUCAAAAAAAACAAAUUAUUGUCUAUACUUGACGAUCAACAUUGUGUCAUUUGAAUUUGACGUAUAAAGGUCAAAUAUUCUCGCGGUAAAAAUACAAAAGUUUAGUGAAGUGUUUGUGUUUCAAUUUACGUUUUGUAAAAUGAAUUCUUAAAACGCAAGCAAUGAGCAAAUCGCCAUAAUGGUGGAAUUUAUGGAAAGGUACGUCAAUAACGUAUUUAAAAUGGUAAACACCCCGCAGGGAAGACUGAGGCGCCAGGAACUUUGCCAACUAUUAAAGAUGUUGCUGGGUAAGGCAGGUAGUGAUCCUGACAAGUCUAUGGAGCAAUGGAUGGAUCAAGGUUGGUUCUAAUGUAAUAAUGAUUGUAAACAUAAAACAAGACAUUCAUUCUGAAGCAUGUUUGUUAUGCUGGCAGACACAUCCUUUUUUAUUUUACUUAUUCUUUGCAAGUGCCCUUGCUAUUGAAUCAUGUAUUUAAUAACAAUAGUUUUGUAGUUGCCAUUUUCCUAGCUACGAAUAUCACAUUUCAUCACCCAAACUUUAUAUUUUAGGACUACCAGUAGAGGAACAGUCAAAUGAGGAGCCUCCAGUUGAGGAACCAUCUAUCCAAAUACAAAUUUUGGAGCAGAUCACUGACAGUAAUUUAUUACAAUCCUGUUAUUUCAUUUAGAAAACAGAUAUGCAAAUCUAUUCUUCAGUUGAUGAUGAACAAAAUGAUAUAUAUGUUGCCUCCUCUUCAAGAGUAUAUGCUGCCCCAUCAUCAGUUCAAAGGAGAGGGAAAUGGCAUCCAGGACCCUCACUCACUGGCUUAUUAAUGUAAUGCUUAUGCUUUGAGAUGCAGUCUCAAAUGCAAAAACAUGUAACAUUUACAUUGGUUUUGGUUGUAACUUGUGUAAUUAAUGUUUAAGUGAAUAUUGAAAUAAAAAAUAAUUGUAUAUAAAUAAAGUUU